AGAGUUUGAUCCUGGCUCAGGAUGAACGCUAGCGGCAGGCCUAACACAUGCAAGUCGAGGGGCAACAGGUGUAGCAAUACAUGCUGGCGACCGGCGCACGGGUGAGUAACGCGUAUGCAACCUACCCAUAACAAGGGGAUAGCUUCCGGAAACGGGAAUUAAUACCCUAUAGCACCUAAAUACCGCAUGGUAUUAAGGUUAAAACUACGGUGGUUAUGGAUGGGCAUGCGUGCCAUUAGUUAGUUGGCGGGGUAACGGCCCACCAAGACUGUGAUGGCUAGGGGGUCUAAAAGGAUGAUCCCCCACACUGGUACUGAGACACGGACCAGACUCCUACGGGAGGCAGCAGUGAGGAAUAUUGGUCAAUGGGCGAGAGCCUGAACCAGCCAUGCCGCGUGCAGGAAGACGGCCCUAUGGGUUGUAAACUGCUUUUGUUUGGGAAUAAAAGGCGCUACGUGUAGUGCACUGAAGGUACCAGAUGAAUAAGCAUCGGCUAACUCCGUGCCAGCAGCCGCGGUAAUACGGAGGAUGCGAGCGUUAUCCGGAUUUAUUAGGUUUAAAGGGUGUGUAGGCGGAAGACUAAGUCAGUGGUGAAAUCCCUCAGCUUAACUGGGGAACUGCCAUAGAUACUGGUUUUCUUGAGUACAGUUGAAGUAGGCGGAAUGUGUAAUGUAGCGGUGAAAUGCUUAGAUAUUACACAGAACACCGAUUGCGAAGGCAGCUUGCUAAGCUGUUACUGACGCUGAUGCACGAAAGCGUGGGGAGCGAACAGGAUUAGAUACCCUGGUAGUCCACGCCGUAAACGAUGAUUACUCGUUGUUGGCGAUAUAUAGUCAGCGACUGAGCGAAAGCAUUAAGUAAUCCACCUGGGGAGUACGGCGGCAACGCUGAAACUUAAAGGAAUUGACGG
rnacentral:rRNA from 1 species